rnacentral:rRNA from 1 species
AUGCAGUCGACGAUGAUGCCCACUUGUGGGUGGAUUAGUGGCGAACGGGUGAGUAACACGUGAGUAACCUGCCCUUGACUCUGGGAUAAGCCUGGGAAACUGGGUCUAAUACCGGAUAUGACCUUCCAUCGCAUGGUGGUUGGUGGAAAGCUUUUGUGGUUUUGGAUGGACUCGCGGCCUAUCAGCUUGUUGGUGGGGUAAUGGCCUACCAAGGCGACGACGGGUAGCCGGCCUGAGAGGGUGACCGGCCACACUGGGACUGAGACACGGCCCAGACUCCUACGGGAGGCAGCAGUGGGGAAUAUUGCACAAUGGGCGCAAGCCUGAUGCAGCGACGCCGCGUGAGGGAUGACGGCCUUCGGGUUGUAAACCUCUUUCAGUAGGGAAGAAGCGUAAGUGACGGUACCUGCAGAAGAAGCGCCGGCUAACUACGUGCCAGCAGCCGCGGUAAUACGUAGGGCGCAAGCGUUAUCCGGAAUUAUUGGGCGUAAAGAGCUCGUAGGCGGUUUGUCGCGUCUGCCGUGAAAGUCCGGGGCUCAACUCCGGAUCUGCGGUGGGUACGGGCAGACUAGAGUGAUGUAGGGGAGACUGGAAUUCCUGGUGUAGCGGUGAAAUGCGCAGAUAUCAGGAGGAACACCGAUGGCGAAGGCAGGUCUCUGGGCAUUAACUGACGCUGAGGAGCGAAAGCAUGGGGAGCGAACAGGAUUAGAUACCCUGGUAGUCCAUGCCGUAAACGUUGGGCACUAGGUGUGGGGGACAUUCCACGUUUUCCGCGCCGUAGCUAACGCAUUAA